AUGGGUGUCCGUGGGUGUCACUGUGGACAUCCAUGGGACACCAGUGGGUGCCACCAGGGCCACCCAUAUGGCCACCACCAACAUGGGCACCACCAACAACAUGGGCACCAACAUGGGCACCACCAACAACAUCAUGGCAACCAACAUGGCCCCCCCCACCACCAACAUGGGCACAACCAACAUGGCCCCCCCCACCACGGGCACCGUGACGGCGGAGGGGAGCUGGCAGCCAGGAUCGGGAGACUGCAACAGGCCCAGUUGUGGGGUUUCCAUGGGGGUCCGGCCCCCCCCCGCACCAAGACGCUGCCCCCCCUGCAGCAAGUGUGGAACCUGCUGCACCUGGAGGACCAGCACUGCUCGCUGCCCCCCCGGGCCGUCGUUUUCCUUUCCCCCCCCCAUAUCCCCAUAUAUCCCCAUAAUAACCCCAUAUAUCCCCCAUAUAACCCCAAUAACACCCCAUAUAACCCCUAUAUCUCACCCCCUAAUCCCCCAUAUAACCGCAUAUAUCUCCGCUACAGACCAGCAUUGCUUCUCUGCUCCCCUCCCCGGGCCGUCGUUUCCUUUCCCCCCCCAUACUCCCCCAUAUACCCCUAUAUCCCCCAUAUACCCGCAUAUAAACCCCAUAAUAACCCCUAUAAUCCCCCAUAUAUACCCUAUAUCUCACUACAGGAACGCAGCACUGCUCGCUGCCCCCCCCGGGCCGUCGUUUCCUUCCCCCCCCCGCCAUAACCCCCAUAUACCCCCAAUAUAACCCCCUAUAUCCCCCAUAAUAACACCCAUAUAAUCCCCAUAAACCCCAUACACCCAUAUAACCCCAUAUAACGCCCUCCUAUAUCCCGCCAUAUAACCUAUAAAUCUCCCUACAGACCAGCACUGCUCGCUGCCCCCCCGGGCCGUCGUUUCCUUUCCCCCCCCCCCCCAUUCAGCCCCUCCCCCCCCGGAAGUGACCUUACGGACGGCGGUCGAGGCGGCCGAGCGCGGCCCACCCACGUUGUCCAACCAGCAGCCCGCGUGCCUUACCACCCACCGCGACACCGGACCACACACGGCGCCGGCACCAGCACCGCGGUCAGCGGGGGGGAUAUAGGGGAUGUAUGGGGUUAUAUGGGGUUGUAUGGGGUUAUAUGGGAUGUUAUAUGGGAUAUAGGGGAUGUAUGGGGUUAUAUGGGAUGUUAUAUGGGAUAUAUGGGGUUAUAUGGGGUUAUAUGGGAUAUAUGCGGUUAUAUGGGGUUAUAUGGGAUAUAUGGGGUUAUAUGGGAUAUAUGGGAUGUAUGGGGUUAUAUGGGAUGUUAUAUGGGAUGUAUGGGGUUAUAUGGGAUGUUAUAUGGGAUGUAUGGGGUUAUAUGGGGUUAUAUGGGAUAUAUGGGAUGUUAUAUGGGGUUAUAUGGGAUAUAGGGGAUGUAUGGGGUUAUAUGG
rnacentral:lncRNA from 1 species